UGGGGAAUAUUGCACAAUGGGGGAAACCCUGAUGCAGCAACGCCGCGUGAGUGAUGACGGCCUUCGGGUUGUAAAGCUCUGUCUUCAGGGACGAUAAUGACGGUACCUGAGGAGGAAGCCACGGCUAACUACGUGCCAGCAGCCGCGGUAAUACGUAGGUGGCGAGCGUUGUCCGGAUUUACUGGGCGUAAAGGGAGCGUAGGCGGACUUUUAAGUGAGAUGUGAAAUACCCGGGCUCAACUUGGGUGCUGCAUUUCAAACUGGAAGUCUAGAGUGCAGGAGAGGAGAAUGGAAUUCCUAGUGUAGCGGUGAAAUGCGUAGAGAUUAGGAAGAACACCAGUGGCGAAGGCGAUUCUCUGGACUGUAACUGACGCUGAGGCUCGAAAGCGUGGGGAGCAAACAG
rnacentral:rRNA from 2 species